AAAUAUAAAAAGUAAGAAAAUAAAAAAGGACAAAAAUUGAAGAAAAAUUUCAAAAAUGAAAUGGAACGACAAAAUGAAAAAAAAAAAGUUUAAAAAGGACAAAAAAUUGAAAAACAUAUAAGACCUAAUAAUAAAACAAUAUAAAAAGUCAGACAAAAAAUUAAAAAAGAGAAAAGUUAAUGCAAAAUAAAAAAAGUAUGAGAAUUUAAAAACGCAAAUAAGAAAUGAAAGGAAAUUUGUGAAAAAAGAAAUAAGAAAAGCAACAAAAGAAUAAAAAUGAAAAGACAAAAGGUUUGGAAUAAAAAACAGAAAAAUAAAAAUUUUUAAAAUAACGAAAAAUUAAAACAAGUAAAUAUGAAAGCAUAUGCAAAAAAGGCAAAAAGAAGGAAAAUUUUGAAGGGAAAAAGUUAUUAAAAAAUUACAAAGUAGGACAAAAAUAGCAAAAAUGAUAAUAAAAUAAAAAAAUAAAAAAGAUUCAAAAAAUAAAAAUAAAAAAUUUUGAACUUUAUAAAAAAAUUUUAAAAUAUAAAUAAAAAUAAAUGGAAAUAUAAAUUAAGAAAAAAAUAAAAAAGUAAGAUAUUAAAAAAUUAGCGAAUAAAAAAAAUAAAAGACAAAAAGAAUAAAAAUUUCAAAUACAAAAUAGAAAAAAAUUUUAGUUCAGAAUAUACAAAGAAAAACAAAAAAAAAAUAUAACAAAUAUAGGAAAAAGAUAUAAAAAAUCAAAGGUAAAAAAUAAAAUAAAAGUUAAUGAAAAAUAUAAAUAAAAGCAAAAGAAAGUGCACAAAAAAUAGUCUAAUAAUUUAAAAAUGCAAAUAAGAAAUGAAAGGAAAUUUGUGAAAAAAUAAGAAAAGCAAGAAAAGAAUAAAAAUGAAAAGACAAAAGAUUUGGAAUAAAAAAAGAAAAAAGAAAUAUAAAAAAUUUUAAAACAACGAAAAAAUUAAAACAAGUAAAACUGAAAGCAUAUGAAAAAAAAAAAAAAAAAGCCAAAAAGAAAGAAAAUUUUGAAGGGAAAACGUUAUUGAAAAAUUACAACAUAGAACAAAAAAAAUGAAAAUGAAAAAAUAAAAAAGAUUCAAAAAAUUUUAAAUUUUAAAUUUUAUAAAAGUUUUUAAAAAUAUAAAUAAAAAACAAAUAAAAGAAUAGUAAUAUAAAAGAAAAAAUAAAAUAAAAUACCAAAAAUGGAAAAAAAAUGAAAAAGUAAGAAAAUAAAAAAAAUAUAAAAAGACAAAAUGAAUAAAAAUUUGAAAUAUAAAUAGAAAAAAUUUUAGUUUAAAGAAAAAAAAUAACAAAUACAAGAAAAAGAUAUAGAAAAUCAAAAAAAUAUAAAAAGACAAAAAGAAUAAAAAUUUGAAAUACAAAAUAGAAAAAACUUUUAGUUUAAAGAAAAAAAUAACAAAUACAAGAAAAAGAUAUAAAAAAUCAAAGAUAAAAAAUAAAAUAAAAGUUAAUAAAAAAUAUAAAUAAAAACAAAAGGAAGUGCACAAAAAAAGAAGUUUGAGGUUUUAAAAUUGUAAAGAAGAAAUAAAAAAAGUGUGAACAAAAAGAUAUAAGGAAAAGCAAGAAAAAAAUAAAAAGAAAAACAUAGAGAAUUUUAAUAGAAAGAAAAAACUUCAAACAAAAAAAUGAAAGUAAAUCAACAAAUAAGUUAAAAGAAAAAGAAAAAAAAAGGGAUUAAUGAAAAAUUAUAAAAAUAGAAUAAAAAAUAGCAAAAAACAAAAAAUGAAAACAAAAAUGAGAAAAACCAAAAGAAUAAUAGAUUAAAAAAUAAAGUAAAUAUCCAUAACAUUACAAAAGUUAAAAAUAAAAAAUAAAAGGAAAAAUAAAAUAAGAGAAAAUAACAAAGCAAAGGAAAAUGAUAAAAUAAGUACUAAAAAACUAAAAAUAGAAAAACAAAAAAGUAAGGAAAUGAAGAAAUAACGAGUCAAAAGAAAAAUUAAAAAAAUAGAAAAAUGUUAAAAAUGGAAAGAUGACAAAAUAGAGAAAAGUUUAGUUUAUAAAUACAAACAAAUAAUAACAAAUAAUAAGAAAAAAGAUUUAAAAAAUCAAAGAUAAAAAAUUAAAAGAAGGGAAAGUUAACAACAAAAAGAAAAAAUAAACAAAAGAAGGAAGUUGGAACAAUCACAAAUUAGAAAAAAAAAAAGCUAAGAAAACCCAAAAAAAGAAGAAAAACGUUAAGAAAAAUAAAAAUGAGAAAAAGAAAGAUAGAAAGUAAAGAGAGUGCAAAAAGAAAAACAUUAAUAGAAAUAAUGUAAUGACCAAUUAGAUUGAAGUAACAAAAAGAAAAUCAAAGUAAAAGGAAAUAAGUAAUGAAGAGUAAUAGAAAGAAAACAAGAAGAAAUAUUAUGUAAAAAAAAAAAAAAGGAAUGAAAAACUAAGAAAAUGCAUAAAAAGUAAAAAAAACAAAAAAAGUUAAAAAAGGAAAAGAAAAAGGAAGUAAAUAAAGAAAUAAAAAUUCUACAAAAGUUAAAUCUUUAAUUUAUGUUUAAAACUUAAUUUGAAUUCGAAAGUUUAGAUGCAAAAUAUUUUGAUUUGAAUUUUUGAUUUAAAUUUAGAACUUUUAAUUUUUAAACCGUUAAAAAUGUAAAAAUUUGGAUACAUGAAGUAAUAGUGAUAGAUAUAACAAUUCCAAACUAGUGUUAUUAUAUAUAAGCCAAUAAAAUUCCAAAAGAAAAUAACAAAGAUAAUUAUUAUCUCUUACAAAUUGUAUUAAAUAAAGAUAAAUAUUACACAAUCCAAAAUAAUAAAUAAAAUAAUGAGUAGUAAAAAAUAAUCCAAAUUGAAUUAAAUAAAAGAUAAAAUAUUAUACAAGAUAAUUUUGUUAAUUAGAUAAAUUACACGACAAAUAAAAACAAAUUUCAAGAUAAAAUACAAGAUAAUCUUAAUUAGAUAUCUAAUUAGUAUACAUGCACAUAAACUCCUUCCAUUUCUAAUGAAGCAAAGUCUCAUUCAACAAUGUUUUAAUAUCUAUAACAUUAUAAAAUUUUUAUAAAAAAAAGCAAAAAAAAAAAAUAAAAGGAAAAUAAAAUAAGAGAAAUUUAAAGCAAAAGGAAAAAGAAAAAAAAAGUACUAAAAAAGAGAAAAAAAUUAAAAAUAAACAAAAGCACAAAAUAGAAAAAAUAAAAAAGUAAGGAAAUGAAAAAAUAAUGAGUCAAAAGAAAAAAUUAGAAAAAAAAAAUUAUAACAAAUGAAAGAUAAAAUAUUCAUACAAGAAAAUUUUGUUAAUUAGACAAAUUACACGAUAAAUAAAACAAAUUUCAAGAUAAAUUACAAGAUGAUCUUAACUAGAUAUCUAAUUAGCAUACACGCACAUAACACCUUCCAUUUCUAAUAAAGUCAAAGUCCUCAUUGAACAAUGUUUUAAUAUCUAUAACAUUAUAAAAUUUUUAUAAAAAAACAAAGUAAGAGGAAAAAUAAAAUAAGAGAAAAUAUUAAAGCAAAAGGAAAAAGAAAAGAAAUUACAAAUAACAAAAGCACAAAAUAGAAAAAAUAACGAGUCAAAAGAAAAAAAUUAGAAAAAUAAAAAAAUUUCAAAAAUGAAGAAAAAAUGACAAAAUAGAAAAAAAUUAGUUUAUAAAAUACGAACAAAAAAUAUACAACAAUAAGAAAUAAUGGUAUAAAAAUCAAAGAUAAAAAAUGAAAAGGGAUUACAAAAUGGAAAAAAGUAAUAAGAAAAAAAAUUAACAAAGGGAAAAAUUUAAUACAAAAUAAAAAUAAAUAAAACACAGACAAGGAAAGGCAAAAAAAGUUAAAAGAAGAAAAAAAUAAAAUGAGAGUCAAAUUAUGAGAUAAACAAAGAAAAAAGUUUAUAGAAUAUUUUGAAACAAAGAAAAAGUGAAAACAAAAAAUAUGAAGCACGUGAAAAAAUAAGUAAAAAGAAGAAGAAAAUUUGAAAGCAGAAAAGUUAAAGAAAAUUAUAAAAUGCAAUAGAAAAGAACCAACAAUGAUAAAUAAAAAAAUAAAAGAUGAAAAAAUACAAUAAAAAUAUAAAAGUAAGAAAAUAAAAAGACAAAAAUUGAAUAAAAACUUCAAAAAAUGAAAUGGAAUGAACAAAUGAAAAAAAAUAGUUCAAAAAUACAAAAAAUUGAAAAACAUAUAAGACAUAAUGAGAAAAUAAUAUAAAAGUCAAGGCAAAAAAAUUAAAAAAGAGAAAGUUAAUUCAAAGUAAAAUGAAAACCCAAGGAGAAAAUGCAAAAAAAAAAAAUUAUGAGAAUUUAAAAACGCAAAUAAGAAGUGAAGGGGAAAUUUGUGAAAAACAAAAACGCGUAAAGCAAUAUAAAUAAUUUUAAAACAUUGAAAGAAUUAAAACAAAUAAAAAAUGAAAGCAUAUGGAAAAAAAGGCAAAAGAAAGAAAAUUUUGAAGGAAAAGUUAUAUGAAAAUUUAUAAAUAAAAAACAAAAAAAAACCAAAAACAAUAAAAAAAAUAAAAUUUAACCAAAAAUAUUAAAAUAAAAACAAUAAAUUAAGAGAAAAUAUUAAUAUAAAAGAAAAUUAAAUAAAUACGAAAAGGAAGAAAUAAAAAUAAACAAAACAAAAAGUAACAAAGCAAGAAAAUAAAAAUUAACGAAUAAAAAAAAAUAUAAACAGAUAAAAUGAAUCAAAAUUUCAUACAAAAUGGACAAACUUAGUUUAGAAUAUACAAAGGACAAAAAAAAUAACAGCAAGGAAAAGAUUAUAAAUAUGAAAAGAUGCAAAAAUAAAAUAAAAGUUAAUAAAAAAUACAAAUAAAAAUAAAAGAAUGUGCAAAAAAACGAAGUUUGAGGUUUAAAACUUAUUACAAGAAGAAAUAAAAAAAAGUGCCGAACAAAAAGAUUUAAAAGCAAAAAAAAGAAAAAAAAUACAAUAUAAAUAAAUUUGAGAAAAAUAUAUAUAAAGUUCGAGAAAAAUGGAGAAAAGAAGAAAAAAUAAAAAAUGAAGAGGCAAAAUAUGAAUAAAAAAAAGAAAAAAAUUUAUAGAAAAUUUUAAAACAAAAAAAAGAGUGAACAAAAAAAAGAAGAAAAAUUUGAAAGGAGAAAAAGUUACUGAAAAAAUUAUAAAAUGCAAUAAAAAUAACCGAGAAUGAUAAAAUAAAAAAAAGAAAGAAAAAAGAUAGAAAAAUAAAAAUUUCAAACUUAUAAAAUUUAUGAAAGAUAAAUUAAAGCAAAAAAAAGAAAAAAUACAAAAAUCAACAAAAAAAUAAAAAGUAAGAAAUAAAAAGGACAAAAAUUGGAAGAAAAAUUUCACAAAAUGAAACUGGAACGACAAAAUGAAAAAAAAAAGUUUAAAAAGGAAAAAAAUUGAAAAACAUAUUAAGACCAAUAAUAAAACAAUAUAAAAAGUCAGACAAAAUUAAAAAGAGAAAAGGUUAAUGGGCAAAAUAAAAAAAGUAUGAGAAAUUUAAAAACGCAAAUAAGAAUGGAAGGAAAUUUGUGAAAAAAGAAUAAGAAAAGGCAACAAAAGAAUAAAAAUGAAAAGACAAAAGGUUUGGAAUAAAAAACAAUGAAAAAUAAAAUUUUUAAAAUAACGAAAAAUUAAAACAAGUAAAUAUGAAAGCAUAUGCAAAAAAGGCAAAAAGAAGGAAAAUUUUGAAGGGAAAAAGUUAUUAAAAAAUUACAAAGUAGGACAAAAAUAGCAAAAAUGAUAAUAAAAUAAAAAAAUAAAAAAGAUUCAAAAAAUAAAAAUAAAAAAUUUUGAACUUUAUAAAAAAAUUUUAAAAUAUAAAUAAAAAUAAAUGGAAAUAUAAAUUAAGAAAAAAAUAAAAAAGUAAGAUAUUAAAAAAUUAGCGAAUAAAAAAAAUAAAAGACAAAAAGAAUAAAAAUUUCAAAUACAAAAUAGAAAAAAAUUUUAGUUCAGAAUAUACAAAGAAAAACAAAAAAAAAAUAUAACAAAUAUAGGAAAAAGAUAUAAAAAAUCAAAGGUAAAAAAUAAAAUAAAAGUUAAUGAAAAAUAUAAAUAAAAGCAAAAGAAAGUGCACAAAAAAUAGUCUAAUAAUUUAAAAAUGCAAAUAAGAAAUGAAAGGAAAUUUGUGAAAAAAUAAGAAAAGCAAGAAAAGAAUAAAAAUGAAAAGACAAAAGAUUUGGAAUAAAAAAAGGAAAAAGAAAUAUAAAAAAUUUUAAAACAACGAAAAAAUUAAAACAAGUAAAACUGAAAGCAUAUGAAAAAAAAAAAAAAAGCCAAAAAGAAAGAAAAUUUUGAAGGGAAAACGUUAUUGAAAAAUUACAACAUAGAACAAAAAAAAUGAAAAUGAAAAAUAAAAAAGAUUCAAAAAAUUUUAAAUUUUAAAUUUUAUAAAAGUUUUAAAAUAUAAAUAAAAAACAAAUAAAGAAUAGUAAUAUAAAAGAAAAAUAAAAUAAAUACCAAAAAUGGAAAAAAAUGAAAAAGUAAGAAAAUAAAAAAAUAUAAAAGACAAAAUGAAUAAAAUUUGAAAUAUAAAUAGAAAAAUUUUAGUUUAAAAGAAAAAAAAUAACAAAUACAAGAAAAGAUAUAGAAAAUCAAAAAAUAUAAAAGACAAAAAGAAUAAAAAUUUGAAAUACAAAAUAGAAAAAACUUUUAGUUUAAAGAAAAAAAUAACAAAUACAAGAAAAGAUAUAAAAAUCAAAGAUAAAAAAUAAAAUAAAAGUUAAUAAAAAAUAUAAAUAAAAACAAAAGGAAGUGCACAAAAAAAGAAGUUUGAGGUUUUAAAAUUGUAAAGAAGAAAUAAAAAAGUGUGAACAAAAGAUAUAAGGAAAAGCAAGAAAAAAAUAAAAAGAAAAACAUAGAGAAUUUUAAUAGAAAGAAAAAACUUCAAACAAAAAAAUGAAAGUAAAUCAACAAAUAAGUUAAAAGAAAAAGAAAAAAAAAGGGAUUAAUGAAAAAUUAUAAAAAUAGAAUAAAAAAUAGCAAAAACAAAAAAUGAAAACAAAAAUGAGAAAAACCAAAAGAAUAAUAGAUUAAAAAUAAAGUAAAUAUCCAUAACAUUACAAAAGUUAAAAAUAAAAAAUAAAAGGAAAAAUAAAAUAAGAGAAAAUAAUAAAGCAAAAGGAAAAUGAUAAAAUAAGUACUAAAAACUAAAAAUAGAAAAAACAAAAAAGUAAGGAAAUGAAGAAAUAACGAGUCAAAAGAAAAAUUAAAAAAUAGAAAAAUAUUAAAAAUGGAAAAAAUGACAAAAUAGAGAAAAGUUUAGUUUAUAAAAUAUAAACAAAUAAUAACAAAUAAUAAGAAAAAAAGAUUUAAAAAAUCAAAGAUAAAAAUUAAAAGAAGGGAAAAGUUAAUACAAAAAGAAAAAAUAAAAACAAAAGAAGGAAGUGUGGAACAAAAAUCACAAAUUAGAAAAAAAAAGCUAAGAAAACCCAAAAAAAAGAAGAAAAACGUUAAGAAAAAUAAAAAAUGAGAAAAGAAAGAUAGAAAGUAAAGAGAGUGCAAAAGAAAAACAUUAAUAGAAAAUAAUGUAAAUGACCAAUUAGAUUGAAGUAACAAAAAGAAAAUCAAAGUAAAAGGAAAAUAAGUAAUGAAAGAGUAAUAGAAAGAAAACAAGAAAGAAAGUAUUAUGUAAAAAGAAAAAAAAAAAGGAAUGAAAAACUAAGAAAAUGCAUAAAAAGUAAAAAAAAACAAAAAAAGUUAAAAAAGGAAAAGAAAAAGGAAGUAAAUAAAGAAAUAAAAAUUCUACAAAAGUUCAAUCUUUAAUUAUGUUUAAAACUUAAUUUGAAUUCGAAAGUUUAGAUGCAAAAUAUUUUGAUUUGAAUUUAUUGAUUUAAAUUUAGAACUUUUAAUUUUUAAACCGUUAAAAAUGUAAAAAUUUGGAUACAAGAAGUAAAUAGUGAUAGAUAUAACAAUUCCAAACUAGUGUUAUUAUAUAUAAGCCAAUAAAAUUCCAAAAGAAAAUAACAAAGAUAAUUAUUAUCUCUUAACAAAUUGUAUUAAAUAAAAGAUAAAUAUUACACAAUCCAAAAUAAUAAAUAAAAUAAUGAGUAGUAAAAAAAUAAUCCAAAUUGAAUUAAAUAAAAGAUAAAAUAUUAUACAAGAUAAUUUUGUUAAUUAGAUAAAUUACACGACAAAUAAAAACAAAUUUCAAGAUAAAAUACAAGAUAAUCUUAAUUAGAUAUCUAAUUAGUAUACAUGCACAUAACUCCUUCCAUUUCUAAUGAAGCCAAAGUCUCAUUCAACAAUGUUUUAAUAUCUAUAACAUUAUAAAAUUUUUAUAAAAAAAGCAAAAAAAAAAUAAAAGGAAAAAUAAAAUAAGAGAAAAUUUAAAGCAAAAGGAAAAAGAAAAAAAAGUACUAAAGAAGAGAAAAAAAAUUAAACAUAAACAAAAGCACAAAAUAGAAAAAAUAAAAAAAGUAAGGAAAUGAAAAAAUAAUGAGUCAAAAGAAAAAAAUUAGAAAAAAAAAUUAUAACAAAUGAAAGAUAAAAUAUUAUACAAGAGAAUUUUGUUAAUUAGACAAAUUACACGAUAAAUAAAAACAAAUUUCAAGAUAAAUUACAAGAUGAUCUUAACUAGAUAUCUAAUUAGCAUACAUGCACAUAACACCUUCCAUUUCUAAUAAAGUCAAAGUCUCAUUGAACAAUGUUUUAAUAUCUAUAACAUUAUAAAAUUUUUAUAAAAAAACAAAGUAAGAGGAAAAAUAAAAUAAGAGAAAAUAUUAAAGCAAAAGGAAAAAGAAAAAGAAAUUACAAAUAAACAAAAGCACAAAAUAGAAAAAAUAACGAGUCAAAAGAAAAAAAAUCAGAAAAAGAAAAAAAUUUCAAAAAUGAAGAAAAAAUGACAAAAUAGAAAAAAAUUAGUUUAUAAAAUAUGAACAAAAAAUAUAACAAACAAUAAGAAAUAAUGGUAUAAAAAAUCAAAGAUAAAAAAUGAAAAGGGAUUACAAAAUGGAAAAAAUUAAUUUAGAAAACAUAAGGAAAAAAAGUAAUAAGAAAAAAAAAUGAAAGAUAAAAAAAUUAACAAAGGGAAAAAUUUAGUACAAAAUAAAAACAAGACAAGGAAGGGCAAAAAAAAGUUAAAAGAAGAAAAAAAUAAAAAAUGAAGAGUCAAAAUUAUGAGAUAAAACAAAAAGAAACAAAGUUUAUAGAUAUUUUGAAACAAAGAAAAAAGUGAAAACAAAAAAAUAUGAAAGCACAUGAAAAAAUAAGUAAAAAAAGAAGAAAAAUUUGAAAGGAGAAAAAGUUAAAGAAAAAUUAUAAAAAUGCAAUAGAAAAGAACCAACAAUGAUAAAAUAAAAAAAUAAAAGAUGAAAAAAAAUACAAUAAAAAUAUAAAAAGUAAGAAAAUAAAAAAGACAAAAAUUGAAUAAAAACUUCAAAAAUGAAAUGGAAUGACAAAAUGAAAAAAAAAAUAGUUCAAAAAAUACAAAAAAUUGAAAAACAUAUAAGACAUAAUGAGAAAAUAAUAUAAAAAGUCAAAGGCAAAAAAAUUAAAAAAGAGAAAAGUUAAUUCAAAGUAAAAAUGAAAACCCAAGGAGAAAAUGCAAAAAAAAAAAAAUUAUGAGAAUUUAAAAACGCAAAUAAGAAGUGAAGGGAAAUUUGUGAAAAAAAAAAAGCGUAAAGAAAUAUAAAUAAUUUUAAACAUUGAAGAAUUAAAACAAAUAAAAAUGAAAGCAUAUGAAAAAAAGGCAAAAGAAAGAAAAUUUUGAAGGGAAAAAGUUAUUGAAAAUUUAUAAAUAGAACAAAAAAUAGCAAAAAAAAUAUACAAAAAAAAUAAAAAAAUGAAAAAAUAAAAAUUUUGAACUUUAUAAAAUUUUUUAAAAUAUAAAUAAAAAAUAAAUUAAGAGAAAAUAUUAAUAUAAAAGAAAAAUUAAAUAAAAUACGAAAAAAGGAAGAAAUAAAAUAAACAAAAACAAAAGUAACAAAGCAAGAAAUAAAAAAUUUACGAAUAAAAAAAAAUAUAAAAAGACAAAAUGAAUAAAAAUUUCAAAUACAAAAUGGAAAAACUUUUAGUUUAGAAUGUACAAAGGAAACAAAAAAUAUAUAUAAACAAAUAAAGGAAAAGAUAUAAAAUAUGAAAGAUGAAAAAUAAAAUAAAAGUAAUAAAAAUACAAAUAAAAUAAAAGAAUGUGCACAAAAAAAGAAGUUUGAGGUUUUAAAAUUAUAAGAAGAAAUAAAAAAAAGUGCGAACAAAAAGAUUUAAGAAAAAGCAAGAAAAAAUGAAAAAUGAAAUACAAAUAUAUAAAAUAAAAUUUGAGAAAAAAUAUAUAAAGUUUGAGAAAAAUGAGAAAAAGAAGAAAAAAAUAAAAAUGAAGAGGCAAAAAUAUGAAAUAAAAAAAAAAGAAAAAAUUUAUAGAAAAUUUUAAAACAAAAAAAAGAGUGAACAAAAAAAUGAAACGCACAUAAAAAAAAGAAGAAAAAUUUGAAAGGAGAAAAAGUUAAUGAAAAAUUAUAAAAUGCAAUAAAAAUAACCGAGAAUGAUAAAAUUAAAAAAAGAAAAGAAAAAAAAGAUAGAAAAAUAAAAAUUUCAAACUUAAUAAAAAUUAUGAAACUAUAAAAAAAGAAAAAAAAUUAAAGCAAAAGAAAAAAGAUAAAUAAUGCACAAAAAAAGAAAAAAUACAAAAAUACAACAAAAAAUAUAAAAAGUAAGAAAAUAAAAAAGGACAAAAAUUGAAGAAAAAUUUCAAAAAUGAAAUGGAACGACAAAAUGAAAAAAAACAAAAGUUUAAAAAGGACAAAAAAUUGAAAAACAUAUAAGACCUAAUAAUAAAACAAUAUAAAAAGUCAGACAAAAAAUUAAAAAAGAGAAAAGUUAAUGCAAAAUAAAAAAAGUAUGAGAAUUUAAAAACGCAAAUAAGAAAUGAAAGGAAAUUUGUGAAAAAAGAAAUAAGAAAAGCAACAAAAGAAUAAAAAUGAAAAGACAAAAGGUUUGGAAUAAAAAACAGAAAAAUAAAAAUUUUUAAAAUAACGAAAAAUUAAAACAAGUAAAUAUGAAAGCAUAUGCAAAAAAGGCAAAAAGAAGGAAAAUUUUGAAGGGAAAAAGUUAUUAAAAAAUUACAAAGUAGGACAAAAAUAGCAAAAAUGAUAAUAAAAUAAAAAAAUAAAAAAGAUUGAAAAAAUAAAAAUAAAAAAUUUUGAACUUUAUAAAAAAAUUUUAAAAUAUAAAUAAAAAUAAAUGGAAAAAUAAAUUAAGAUAAAAUAUUAAUAUAGAAGAAAAAAUUAAAUAAAAUACCAAAAAAUAAAAAAAUAAAAAAGUAAGAUAUUAAAAAAUUAGCGAAUAAAAAAAAUUAAAGACAAAAAGAAUAAAAAUAGAAAAAAAUUUUAGUUCAGAAUAUACAAAGAAAAACAAAAAAAAAAUAUAACAAAUAUAGGAAAAAGAUAUAAAAAAUCAAAGGUAAAAAAUAAAAUGAAAGUUAAUGAAAAAUAUAAAUAAAAACAAAAGAAAGUGCACAAAAAAAAGUCUAAUAAUUUAAAAAUGCAAAUAAGAAAUGAAAGGAAAUUUGUGAAAAAUAAGAAAGCAAGAAAAGAAUAAAAAUGAAAGACAAAAGAUUUUGAAUAAAAAAAGAAAAAAGAAAUAUAAAAAAUUUUAAAACAACGAAAAAAUUAAAACAAGUAAAAUUGAAAGCAUAUGAAAAAAAAAAGGCAAAAAGAAAGAAAAUUUUGAAGGGAAAACGUUAUUGAAAAAUUAAAUAGAACAAAAAAAAUAGACAAAAAAAUAAGAAAAUGAAAAAAUAAAAAAUUUUGAACUUUAUAAAAAUUUUUUAAAAUAUAAAUAAAAAAUAAAUGAAAAAAUAAAUUAAGAGAAAAUAUUAAUAUAAAAGAAAAAAUAAAUAAAAUACGAAAAAAGGAAGAAAUAAAAAUAAACAAAAACAAAAAGUAACAAAGCAAGAAAAUAAAAAAUUUACGAAUCAAAAAAAUAUAAAAAGACAAAAUGGAAAAAACUUAGAAUGUACAAAGGAAAACAAAAAAUAUAUAUAUACAAAUAAAGGAAAAAGAUAUAAAAUAUGAAAGAUGAAAAAUAAAAUAAAAGUUAAUAAAAAAUAGAAAUAAAAAUAAAAGAAUGUGCACAAAAAAAGAAGUUUGAGGUUUUAAAAUUAUAAAGAAGAAAUAAAAAAAAGUGCGAACAAAAAGAUUUAAGAAAAAGCAAGAAAAAAAUAAAAAAUGAAAAUACAAAAUAUAUAAAAUAAUAUGAGAAAAUAUAUAUAAAGUUUGAGAAAAAAUGAGAAAAAGAAGAAAAAAAUAAAAAAUGAAGAGGCAAAAAUAUGAAAUAAAAAAAAAAAAAAAUUUAUAGAAAAUUUUAAAAAAAAAGAGUGAACAAAAAAAAUGAAGCGCAUAAAAAAAAAGAAGAAAAAUUUGAAAGGAGAAAAAGUUAAUGAAAAAUUAUAAAAAUGCAAUAAAAAAUAACCGAGAAUGAUAAAAUAAAAAAAGAAAAGAAAAAAAGAUAGAAAAAAAAAAUUUCAAAACUUAAUAAAAAUUUAUGAAACUAUAAAAAAAGAAAAAAAUUAAAGCAAAAGAAAAAAGAUAAAUAAAGCACAAAAAAAGAAAAAAAAAAUACAACAAAAAUAUAAAAAGUAAGAAAAUAAAAAAGGACAAAAAUUGAAGAAAAAUUUCAAAAAUGAAAUGGAAUGACAAAAUGAAAAAAAAUUAGUUUAAAAAGGAACAAAAAAUUGAAAAACAUAUAAGACCUAAUAAUAAAACAAUAUAAAAAGUGAGACAAAAAAUUAAAAAAGAGAAAAGUUAAUGCAAAAUAAAAAAAGUAUGAGAAUUUAAAAACGCAAAUAAGAAAUGAAAGGAAAUUUGUGAAAAAAGAAAUAAGAAAAGCAACAAAAGAAUAAAAAUGAAAAGACAAAAGGUUUGGAAUAAAAAACAAAAAAUAAAAAUUUUUAAAAUAACGAAAAAAUUAAAACAAGUAAAAAUGAAAGCAUAUGAAAAAAAGCAAAAAGAAGGAAAAUUUUGAAGGGAAAAAGUUAUUAAAAAAUUACAAAGUAGGACAAAAAUAGCAAGAAAAAUAAAAAAAUAAAAAAGAUUCAAAAAUAAAAAAAAAAAUUUUGAACUUUAUAAAAAUUUUUUAAAAUAUAAAUAAAAAUAAAUGGAAAAAUAAAUUAAGAUAAAAUAUUAAUAUAGAAGAAAAAAUUAAAUAAAAUACCAAAAAAGCAAAAAAUAAAAAAGUAAGAUAUUAAAAAAUUAGCGAAUAAAAAAAUACAAAAGACAAAAUGAAUAAAAAUUUCAAAUACAAAAUAGAAAAAACUUUUAGUUCAGAAUAUACAAAGAAAAACAAAAAAAAUAUAUAACAAAUAUAGGAAAAAGAUAUAAAAAAUCAAAGAUAAAAAAUAAAAUAAAAGUUAAUAAAAAAUAUAAAUAAAAACAAAAAGAAAGUGCAAAAAAAAAGUCUAAUAAUUUAAAAAUGCAAAUAAGAAAUGAAAGGAAAUUUGUGAAAAAAUAAGAAAAGAAUAAAAAUGAAAAGACAAAAGAAAAAAGAAAUAUAAAAAAUUUUAAAACAACGAAAAAAUUAAAACAAGUAAAACUGAAAGCAUAUGAAAAAAAAAAAAAAAAGCAAAAAGAAAGAAAAUUUCUAAGGGAAAAAGUUAUUGAAAAAUUAGAACAUAGAACAAAAAAAAUGAAAAUGAAAAAAUAAAAAAGAUUCAAAAAUAAAAAAUU
rnacentral:lncRNA from 1 species